rnacentral:rRNA from 1 species
AUGUACUCUCUUCAAGUUCUGAAGUAUGAUGCGGCACUUGACUUGUUCAUAAAGAAGGUAUUCAAAGAUAAUAUUGUAAAAAAUGAUUUGGCCCCAUCUAUGAUGGAGCAAGCAAGAGUUACCCUGCAGAAAUGUGGUGGACUUCCCCUUGCGAUAACGACCAUCGGUGGAUUCCUAGCCACUAAGCCAAAAACUGCUAUUGAAUGGAGAAAGAUGAAUGACUGUAUUAGUACUGAACUGGAGUUAAAUCCGGAGCUUAUGACAAUAAAGUCAGUUCUUAUGAGGAGCUACGAUGGUCUACCAUACCAUCUCAAGUCUGCUUUCUUGUACCUGUCCAUAUUUCCAGAAGACCAUACAAUUAGGUGGGGUCGCUUGAUGAGGCGGUGGAUUGCAGAGGGUUACUCAAGGGAUAUGCAUGGCAUCACUGCAGCUGAACUCUGUCGGAGGUACUUUGAUGAGCUCUUGGAUAGGAGUAUGAUCCUGCCAGGGGAAGGGAUAGACCAAUACAGUUGGAAAAUCAGUUCUUGUCAACUUCAUGAUAUGAUCCGUGAAAUAUGCAUCUCAAAGGCUAGGGAGGAAAACCUUGUUUUCACGCUGGAGGAAGGAUGUUGUUUAAGCGAGACACAAGGUGCAAUACGUCAUCUUGUCAUAAGCAGCAAUUGGAAAAGGAAUAAAGAUGUGCUCGAGGGCAUGGUAGACUUGUCACACGUACGGUCAUUGACUAUGUUCGGAGAGUGGAGAUCCUUUUUCAUCUUCGAAAAUAUGAGGUACCUCCGAGUGCUUGACUUAGAGGACACACUGGGGUUAAGAGAUCAUCAUCUUGAUAAAAUCGGGCAGCUCCAUCAACUCAAGUACCUUUCUCUACGAGGAUGUCACAACAUUUUAUGCCUGCCUAAUUCUUUGGGGAAUUUGAGGCACCUCCAAACACUGGAUGUUAGAGGUACCCGUAUAUUUGAGUUGCCAACAACAAUCACCAAUCUCCGGGAGCUGCAGUACCUUCAUGCAGAUAGUGGUCAGAAUGCAGGAGGCAAUGUCAAGGGAGAUGACAUAGUUCGAAUGUAUGAAGCUGAUGGUUUUUCCGAAGGUGGGACAUGUGCCAGUUGUGUGUUCAGCAGUCAUGUUUUCUUGAGACCACAUGUUUUAGAUGCUGGUUUGAACAGGUAUGAUAUAUUCAAUCUAUACUGCUUCCAGGAGAGGCAGCUAGAUGGUGUUGUGCUUCCUAGAGGGAUUGAUAAAUUGAAGGUCCUUCACACAUUAGGUUUUGUCAAUGUUUCUCAUAGCAAUGGAAAGACCACUCUAAAAGAGAUAGGGGAGCUUACCUCAGGUGCGUAA